rnacentral:lncRNA from 1 species
UGCGAGGCGACGUGACCGAGGAGAGCAAAAAUCAGAGGUUGCUUGUCACUACUGCAGUCAUGGGCACGGUUUUGCUUUCCAUUUCUACGUCCUCGAGUGGACCACCCAUAUACAUUCCCACUCAUAACGAGGUAAAUUUUAUAUUAGAUUUUACAAUUAUUAUGUAUAUUUUUAAAAAUAAAAGUAUGCUAAAAUUUUAUUUAAUUUGGUUGAACCAUCCGACAAGUCAUGCUCGAUUACCUACCGAACUUGAAGAUAUACAACUUCUAUUGGACCAACGAUCGGAAGCACAAGUAAGUAUUAUUGCAAAUAGAUAUUUAGUAUUUAGUAUUUAGUAUUUAGUAUUAUGUAUAUAACUAAUAUUUCUAUCAUGUCCAUAUAGUUUCAAUGGACACUAUAUGAGGAUCCGGC